rnacentral:rRNA from 1 species
GGCUUAGAGUUUGAUCAUGGCUCAGGAUGAACGCUAGCGGCAGGCUUAACACAUGCAAGUCGAGGGGCAGCGAGAUCAAAGCUUGCUUUGAUUGUCGGCGACCGGCGCACGGGUGCGUAACGCGUAUGCAACCUACCCACUACAGGGGGAUAACACUGAGAAAUCGGUACUAAUACCCCAUAAUAUCUUGGAAGGCAUCUUUCGAGGUUGAAAACUCCGGUGGUAGUGGAUGGGCAUGCGUUGUAUUAGCUGGUUGGUGAGGUAACGGCUCACCAAGGCGACGAUACAUAGGGGGACUGAGAGGUUAACCCCCCACAUUGGUACUGAGACACGGACCAAACUCCUACGGGAGGCAGCAGUGAGGAAUAUUGGUCAAUGGACGCAAGUCUGAACCAGCCAUGCCGCGUGCAGGAAGACGGCUCUAUGAGAUGUAAACUGCUUUUAUAUGAGGGUAAACCCGGGUACGAGUACCCGGCUGAAAGUAUCAUACGAAUAAGGAUCGGCUAACUCCGUGCCAGCAGCCGCGGUAAUACGGAGGAUCCAAGCGUUAUCCGGAUUUAUUGGGUUUAAAGGGUGCGUAGGCGGUUUGAUAAGUUAGAGGUGAAAUGUUAGGGCUUAACCCUGAAACUGCCUCUAAUACUGUUGAGCUAGAGAGUAGUUGCGGUAGGCGGAAUGUAUGGUGUAGCGGUGAAAUGCUUAGAGAUCAUACAGAACACCGAUUGCGAAAGCAGCUUACCAAACUAUGUCUGACGUUGAGGCACGAAAGCGUGGGGAGCAAACAGGAUUAGAUACCCUGGUAGUCCACGCAGUAAACGAUGAUAACUCGCUGUCGCGAUACACGGUCGUGGCUAAGCGAAAGCGAUAAGUUAU